UGGGGAAUUUUGGACAAUGGGCGAAAGCCUGAUCCAGCAAUGCCGCGUGUGUGAAGAAGGCCUUCGGGUUGUAAAGCGCUUUUGUCCGGAAAGAAAUCCUUGGCUCUAAUACAGUCGGGGGAUGACGGUACCGGAAGAAUAAGCACCGGCUAACUACGUGCCAGCAGCCGCGGUAAUACGUAGGGUGCAAGCGUUAAUCGGAAUUACUGGGCGUAAAGCGUGCGCAGGCGGUUUGCUAAGACCGAUGUGAAAUCCCCGGGCUCAACCUGGGAACUGCAUUGGUGACUGGCAGGCUAGAGUAUGGCAGAGGGGGGUAGAAUUCCACGUGUAGCAGUGAAAUGCGUAGAGAUGUGGAGGAAUACCGAUGGCGAAGGCAGCCCCCUGGGCCAAUACUGACGCUCAUGCACGAAAGCGUGGGGAGCAAACAGGAUUAGAUACCCUGGUAGUCCACGCCCUAAACGAUGUCAACUAGUUGUUGGGGAUUCAUUCCUUAGUAACGUAGCUAACGCGUGAAGUUGACCGCCUGGGGAGUACGGUCGCAAGAUUAAAACUCAAAUGAAUUGACGGGGUCAUAGCUGUUUCCU
rnacentral:rRNA from 1 species